rnacentral:rRNA from 1 species
UACGUAGGGCGCGAGCGUUAUCCGGAAUUAUUGGGCGUAAAGAGCUCGUAGGCGGUUUGUCACGUCUGCUGUGAAAACUGGAGGCUCAACCUCCAGCCUGCAGUGGGUACGGGCAGACUAGAGUGCGGUAGGGGAGAUUGGAAUUCCUGGUGUAGCGGUGGAAUGCGCAGAUAUCAGGAGGAACACCGAUGGCGAAGGCAGGUCUCUGGGCUGUAACUGACGCUGAGGAGCGAAAGCAUGGGGAGCGAACAGG